GACGAACGCUGGCGGCGUGCCUAAUACAUGCAAGUCGAGCGAGCUUGCCUAGAUGAUUUUAGUGCUUGCACUAAAUGAAACUAGAUACAAGCGAGCGGCGGACGGGUGAGUAACACGUGGGUAACCUGCCCAAGAGACUGGGAUAACACCUGGAAACAGAUGCUAAUACCGGAUAACAACACUAGACGCAUGUCUAGAGUUUGAAAGAUGGUUCUGCUAUCACUCUUGGAUGGACCUGCGGUGCAUUAGCUAGUUGGUAAGGUAACGGCUUACCAAGGCAAUGAUGCAUAGCCGAGUUGAGAGACUGAUCGGCCACAUUGGAACUGAGACACGGCCCAAACCCCUACGGGAGGCAGCAGUAGGGAAUCUUCCACAAUGGACGAAAGUCUGAUGGAGCAACGCCGCGUGAGUGAAGAAGGGUUUCGGCUCGUAAAGCUCUGUUGGUAGUGAAGAAAGAUAGAGGUAGUAACUGGCCUUUAUUUGACGGUAAUUACUUAGAAAGUCACGGCUAACUACGUGCCAGCAGCCGCGGUAAUACGUAGGUGGCAAGCGUUGUCCGGAUUUAUUGGGCGUAAAGCGAGUGCAGGCGGUUCAAUAAGUCUGAUGUGAAAGCCUUCGGCUCAACCGGAGAAUUGCAUCAGAAACUGUUGAACUUGAGCGCAGAAGAGGAGAGUGGAACUCCAUGUGUAGCGGUGGAAUGUGUAAAUAUAUGGAAGAACACCAGUGGCGAAGGCGGCUCUCUGGUCUGCAACUGACGCUGAGGCUCGAAAGCAUGGGUAGCGAACAGGAUUAGAUACCCUGGUAGUCCAUGCCGUAAACGAUGAGUGCUAAGUGUUGGGGGGUUUCUGCCUCUCAGUGCUGCAGCUAACGCAUUAAGCACUCCGCCUGGGGAGUACGACCGCAAGGUUGAAACUCAAAGGAAUUGACGGGGGCCCGCACAAGCGGUGGAGCAUGUGGUUUAAUUCGAAGCAACGCGAAGAACCUUACCAGGUCUUGACAUCCAGUGCAAACCUAAGAGAUUAGGUGUUCCCUUCGGGGACGCUGAGACAGGUGGUGCAUGGCUGUCGUCAGCUCGUGUCGUGAGAUGUUGGGUUAAGUCCCGCAACGAGCGCAACCCUUGUCAUUAGUUGCCAUCAUUAAGUUGGGCACUCUAAUGAGACUGCCGGUGACAAACCGGAGGAAGGUGGGGAUGACGUCAAGUCAUCAUGCCCCUUAUGACCUGGGCUACACACGUGCUACAAUGGACGGUACAACGAGAAGCGAACCUGCGAAGGCAAGCGGAUCUCUUAAAGCUGUUUUCAGUUCGGACUGUAGGCUGCAACUCGCCUACACGAAGCUGGAAUCGCUAGUAAUCGCGGAUCAGCACGCCGCGGUGAAUACGUUCCCGGGCCU
rnacentral:rRNA from 1 species